CAAGAGCAAGCUGUGUCUUUCCCAAGUCCACAUUUCUUCUAGCAAUUUCUCGAAUUGCCAUGAAAAUUGGAAUGGAUGCGAGUUGGAGUUUGUCAACAAGAUAAGAGACUCAUGGAUAAAGAAGUCCACGUUUCUUAGGACAAGCCAGAGUUCCCUGCGUUGCGUCAUUCGUUACGGUGUGCCCUGUGUAAGAAGGCCUGGUCUUAUCCCUGACCAGAUCUGAUGCGCUGGUUUUGCUGGCAAGGCCGCUCCUGCCCUGCUGGCUGCACCUCCCCAGGGAGCCGGUCUCACGCGCUGGGAUGUUUGUGUCCGCCCCGUGUGACGGCAUGGUGUUGGCUGCACCUCGUCAGGCGUCCCCUCCAGCAGGAGCAGUGCUCUCUUCGGAGUAAUGAGACCUCCUGAAGACGCAGAGGCGGCCCCGUUCUCCCCAGGGUGCAGCAAUCUGGGCUGCGACAGGCCCUGGCUUUGUCCCCCUGCUGCAUCAGCAGUGAUUUCACUUCUGUCUUCUCUAGGGUGAGACAGACUCAGAGACGAUUCCAAGACGAGGGUUGGCUUAGAGUUCAGUUUUCACAAACAGCCGCCAGUUGAGGAAGGUCCCAGAGAUGAGGAUCACUGGAGGGAGAGGUUGAGGAGCGGCUUGACAGUCGUGGGCUCCGAGGCCUUGGGGGCUAUUUUGCAGACGUGUGUGUGUGUCUGUAUUCAGUCGCUCAGUUGUGUCUGACUCC